rnacentral:rRNA from 1 species
UGUCAGCAGCCGCGGUAAUACGGAGGAUGCAAGCGUUAUCCGGAUUUAUUGGGUUUAAAGGGUGCGCAGGCGGAUUCUUAAGUCAGUGGUGAAAUCCUACAGCUUAACUGUAGAACUGCCAUUGAAACUGGGAGUCUUGAAUUUAGUUGAAGUGGCUGGAAUGUGUCAUGUAGCGGUGAAAUGCUUAGAGAUGACACAGAACACCGAUAGCGAAGGCAGGUCACUAAGCUAAUAUUGACGCUCAUGCACGAAAGCGUGGGGAUCAAACAGGAUUAGAUACCCUGGUAGUCCACGCCGUAAACGAUGAUAACUAGCUGUUGGCGAUACACAGUCAGUGGCUGAGCGAAAGCAUUAAGUUAUCCACCUGGGGAGUACGAUCGCAAGAUUGAAACUCAAAGGAAUUGACGG